GUGUUUUGAUGAUUGUGAUUCCAUUUGAGGUGUCACACUUGGGGCACUAGGCACUCAAGCUUCAUGAAGACUUUCUACACCAAAGAGGUAUGUAUUCUAUCUUGCUAUAGUUAUUGUUUUGUAUGCUAGAUUAGGAUAAUACCUUGGAAGUUCUUAUUUGCAUGUAUAAUAGAGAAAACAUAGAUCCAAGGUAUUUAGGGUUGCAUGUACACUUAGGAAGUGUUAGAAUGCUCAAAACCCAACAGUGGUAUCAGAGCCACGGGUUGUUUUCUGUUAUAUUGAUGCAAAUAUUUUAUUUUCAAAGUUGAAAAAAAAAAAAAAAAAAAACAUGAAGUUUGUCAAAUUUUAAGAUAAUUACUUGUUCUUGUGAAAAACUAAUUAUUUGUAAAAUUUGAAUAAUUUGCUUUAUGAGUUGAAUUAGGUCAAAUUUAAUAAAAGAUAAAAUAAUAUGAUUAUUUUAUUAGUUUUAAAAGUUUGAUCUAAAGAGUUUUAUUUUUUGAAACCUCCAUAAGUUAUGGAUAUGAAAAGGUUUUAAAAAAAAAAUUGAUUCAAAGUUUUUUUGGAGUUACAAAAUUUGGUGUUAAUGUUUUAAAGGAUUCCAUAACUUAAGAAUAAGUUAUGGAUCACCAAAAGUUUUUUGUGUUACCUUGUUUUAUGAGUGAAUUUAGAUUAAUGAAUAAAAUUAUGUGAUAGUUGGUUUUAAUCCAAAUUAAUCUAAGAAUUGAUUCUAAAAUGUGUUUUUGUAACUUGUCCUCAAGUUAUAUGAAAAGUCACAUUUAAGAAUCAUAAAACUCAUAAAAAUUGGCAAAGGUUACAAAAAUGAAGAGUCUAGUUCUAAUUAAAUGGUUUUAUGACUCCAUAACUUGUCCUCAAGUUAUGGAGGACCAAGAGUCUCUUCAUUUAAUAAAAUAAAAUAAAAAAAAAAAAAGUGUAACCUUAAUUAAUUCCAUAAGUUAUAAAAUAAAGAAAAGUUAAUUCUUUUAUUAGUUUAAAGUCUUCCAUAACUUGUCCUCAAGUUAUGGAACUUGAAGAGUUUUUGGAUUAAAACUACUUUAAACACAUAAGUUAUGGAAUUAAUUAGUUUUGAAUAGUUUCAAAACUUGCCCUCAAGUUUUGGAAUUUGUAAAGUUUUCACUUAUGAAUACUUUAAUUCCAAGUUAGCCCUUAGAAUUUUAAAAGUUAAAAUUCAACCCUUAUACUUUAUAAUAUUAUAAGUUAAUAAUAUAUAUAUGUAUAAGAGUAAAGUCAGUCUUACCGCUAGUACGCCUCAUUCACGAAGCCGGUCUAUAAGGUGGGUAUAAGGUUGUUGCCUAUAAAAUGGCAACUUAAUGGGUGUCCACUCUCACCCACCGCUUGCUUGACUGGUGGAGGGUCGUUAGCCGAACGGGUUUGACAGGACUAGAAUUCUCCCUUCAUUAAAAGUAUUAAUGAUAAUACUAAGUAACUAAACUCUUAAUAAUACCCAAUCUUAGUUACUUAGGAAAAAUGUGAAUAAGGUGCUAAUCCAUGAAAUUACACUUUACACUUUGUCUAAGUCGUUAGUGGAGCGUGUGUGGUUAACCGGCACACUAACUUGGACUUAACAAGGUAGGUAAAGGGUGACUUAAUAUUUAUCAUAGUAUCGAUGGAGCGUGUGUGGUUAACCGGCACAUCGAUUGAGGGGUAAUUUAUUAAGGGUACCAAGUGAUUUGCAUGGUUACUUCACACCUUGUUUUGUGAUCCUCGGCAUCCCAGUCACAAAACCUGAAGGGCACACUCGAGAUUGAAACAUGCCUUUGAACAGUUCAAUGAAUCUCAAAGAUCUAGGAGUUUCAAAACCAAUUAAAACCUAAUAAUACAUUUCGUUUAUCUUGGUGGAAAUUGGUGAAUCGUCAUUCACCUACCUUCAAAUAUUUUAUAGCUUGGAUUACGGCAUACCUCUUCUAAGUUAUAAAAUAGUUUGUUGGGUCCUAGCCUUAAUAUUUCAUAUUGGGUGUCAUAUUAAGGACUUUAAAUCAACUAUCUUGAAUAUCUCCCAAAAGAUGUCUGUAAUAGACACCUAUGAUCUUCCCAAAUCUAGUGAAACAAGGUUUCCUAAAUGAAGAUGAUGUCCCAUGGAAAUCAUACUUCUUUCACCUCCUCCAAUUAUUCUCCCUAACCCACAAGUUCUUGAAAAGUUUAAGGUCACUCAAGCCCUAUUGGCAAGGCAAGGUCUAGGUGUGAUCACAUCUUGGAGAUGUAGUCACAUAUUGACAAGCCGGGAGAGUUGGGUGUCAAAGUCUUGAGAAAGUUGGUGGUUCAAUCACUUUCUAAGUCACAUAGUGAGUUCCUUUGGGACACCUAUGAAACAGACUAUGACAAGACCCUUAAUGAUCUUAUCUAUUUGCUAAGAUCAACUUCCUAAAACUUUAUGGACAUUGACAAUGAUGACAUAGGAUAUCCAGAAAAGCAUUCUCUUCCCAAUGGAAAGGGAUCGGCCAUAGUCAACUCGGUUGACCAAAUGGUAAAGAGAAAAGCUAAGUCUGUGAUAGUCCCGUGUACCAUUAUCAAAGGGUCCAUAUGUUUAUAUUGCCAAAGGAAGGGGCAUUGGUUGCGAAGCUGCCAAAUUUACCUAAGGAUGUUAAAGUCAAUAAGUUUGACUCUACUUCAGGUAAAGUCCACUAUCUAACUCUGUUAAGUUUCUAUUCUGAGAUUCUUGAUACAUGAUGUGACUGGGUCACAUGGUGAUGUUUUAAGAAUCAAAGAAAAGUGAAGAAACUUAAAGAAAGAAUAUGCUGAAUCUGAUCGCGUAGAUGGAUUUCUAUCGCAUAGUUUGAAGAUCGGAUUCUUGAGCUACUUCUUAGGAGUUAUGAGAUAUUGCUUAGGAAUAGAUAACAACAAGUUUUCAUAUGGAUUGUAAGGAUAAGUUUUUCCGCAAAGUUUUAAAAUAAAAGAAAAUUUUUGAUUUUAUUUAUUUUAAAAUAUCCUUACAAUGGCAUUUGAGGAAAAAUUGUUGCUUAUAUGAUUCCAUUAAUAGCAAGAGUGGAAAUAUGAAAUUGAUUCUUUCAUUUGUGGUAAUGUCUAAAUUUACCAAAUAAGGAAAGAUUCUCAUCACCCAAGUUUCAGUUGGACCAGAACUUGGAAUCAUGCAAGGUGUAUAGCAUGAUGGAUGAGAACUUUNNNNNNNNNNNNNNNNNNNNNNNNNNNNNNNNNNNNNNNNNNNNNNNNNNNNNNNNNNNNNNNNNNNNNNNNNNNNNNNNNNNNNNNNNNNNNNNNNNNNAAAGAAAGAAUAUGCUGAAUCUGAUGGCGUAGAUGGACUUCUAUCACAUACUUUGAAGAUCGAAUUCUUGAGCUACUUCUCAGGAGUUAUGAGAUAUUGCUUAAGAAUAGAUAACAACAAGUUUUCAUAUGGAUUGAAAGGAUAAGUUUUUCCGCAUAGUUUUAAAAUAAAGGAAAAUUUUGAUUUUAUUUGUUUUAAAAUAUCCUUACAAUGGCAUUUGAGGAAAAAUUGUUGCUUAUAUGAUUCCAUGAAUAGCAAGAGUGGAAAUAUGAAAUUGAUUCUUACAUUUGUGGUAAUGUCUAAAUUUACCAAAUAAAGGAAAGAUUCUCAUCACCCAAGUCUCAGUUGGACCAGAACUUGGAAUCAUGCAAGGUGUAUAGCAUGAUGGAUGAGAACUUUCAAGCAUUGGAAAAAUUAAGACUAACUACUUGUUCACAUGGAUGUGUGAGUCAAGUAAAGGACUAAGGGAUCGAGUACACAUUCUUGUGCACUGAUUAAGUCCACCACAAAAGAUUGAUAAGAUUAUUCAUCAUAGUUUACAAAAGCUCAGUAAACAUGAUUAUACUUACAAGCUUAAGUGUAACUUUGAGACAUUGAAAAAGGUUCCAAUGUAUGGCAGCGCGAAUAAGAAGAAUCAAAUUAGGCAGAAGGAUAAAAGUUUCUCAAAUCUGAAAAGAUGGGAGAGUAGUUUAGUAUCAGUUUUGUGAUCAUCUUAAUGAUUAAGAAACCAUAUCAAAAUUAGUUAUCUAAGGAAAAUCUUAGUGCAUUCUUGUGACUAAGAAGAGGAACUUGAAUUGUUGAAAUGGUUAAAUCAAGAAGAUGAGUCAUACUUCGUCCCAAUACUCCAAGAUUGUAACUUGAGUGACAUGUCUUAAAGAAGGUUUAAAACACUUGUCAAAUGUAAGAGUAAAAGUUUUCUACUCUUGUACAUUUGAAAUUGGUAAGUUGUGAUGUUUUGGAUAAAACAAAGACCAACUUAGGCCAAUUGUGUGAAGUGUUUGUCUUGAUUAGAAUCCACACUAUCUCUUGGAUAUUUGACAAGGGAGUCUUAUAGGUCAAGAGGACAGUGGGAGUCUUAAAAGUCUCAAGAACUAAUCAAGAAUAGAACCUGAAGUUCUUCACUAGCACACGACUUGAGGUUUAUAACCUAUCGUGUUGACAUAUUCUGUGCCCAUUCCAGUUAAAGUUGGCUUUGCAUAUGAGUUCUUAGAGUUCUCAAUUUGUUGCAUAACAACUUGGAAGCAAUGGCAGGCCCUUGAGCUGCCAGGUGGCAAGAAGUUAAGAUUGAGUUCAAUCCAUAUGGUUUUGGAUUUGUCAUUAUCUUUGUCUUGUGAUUAUGGUUUGACAAAUUCAUAUGGGUAGGAACUCAUACACCAUAUAAAUCUAAGUGUCAUAAGGUUUCUCUCCGAUUCAUGAAAAUGAUGGUGAGGAAACACUUUCACUAAGUAGAUUUUAGCUAGAUAGCAAUUGUGAUAUUUGCAUUCUCAAAGUCGUUAGUGGAGCGCGUGUGGUUAACCGGCACACUAACAUGGACUUGUGAGAAGUGGCAAAAAGGUCUAACCAUUAUGAUUACGGCAUACCUCUUCAUAAUUGUUUAGACACACAAGUGUGCUAUCUAAGGGAAGGUGUAUGAUUUUGAUAAAGUUUUAUCAAAACAAUCUAGUAUCAGAAAUCUGAACUUUGGUAAGAAAGUCAAUGAAGUAUUGAUUUCUAGAAGUCCAGCUGAUUUCUGAGUACAUGUCAAAGCUAGUGGGAGCAUAAGUGUUAUGCUAAUAAUCAUCAUGUUAGUGGGAGCAUGAUAAUUAUGAUAAGUAUUGCAAGUUAGCAAUGUUAAUUAUAGAAAACAAAAGUUUCAAUUGGGAAAAAGUUGUUUUGCUAUAAUUAAGGGAGAGGAAAUUAUGCUUCAUCUCAAAUCUAUAAGCUUAGAUCGUGAGGUUUUAAUCAUUUAGUCAAGGAUAUAUAUGAAUUUCAUGUUGGAAUGGCUCAACAUAAGGAAAUUCUGUAUAUGGGUCCAUUAUUUGCGUUCUAAAAUUCGAUUAUGAUUACGGCAUCCCUUUUCAUAAUCUGAAUUAUGAGAACUUGGCAAAUUGAAAUGGAAAUAUUAUAGCAAAAGACUGGUUUAGUCUUUAUGUGAGACAUCAUGAAUCGUGUCCCAUAUGCUUCGGAUAUAGGAUCGAUUACAUGUGCUAUAUUCAUCCGUUCUAAAAUUUUCCAAAUGCCUGGGGCAUUAAGAAGGGAAAAGGUUUAGAACUGGAUAUGACUAAAAGGAUUAAACAGUUGUCGAGGAUAAUCUAAGGUUUACCAAAGAUUGGUUGCUCAAGGACAGUUGGAAGUAUAGUGAUAAUUCUGGAAGGACCAGAUUGACAUAAUUUGUAAGGAGGCAACUCUUGUUCAGAUGUGAUAGUCAAAAUGGAAUCUGGAAAUGUUUCAAAGUUAGAAUGUUGAAUCUGUGUAAGAUUAAGGAAACUUAAUGUAAGAAGGAUGUUUUCCAAGGAGCUGAUCUCCUGUGGAAUACUUUGUAAUGGUUGUUGUCAAGUCCUUGUGAUUUUGUGCAUAAUCAUUACAAGAGGAUCAAUGCAUAUAAGUUUAGAAUCUAACAGAUUUCAGUAAAUGGCAUGAAUUUGGAAUUCUUGCAUUUGCAGUAAGGAUUUGGGAGUGUGAAAAGAGAAUCAUUGAAGUUAUGUUCAAUUGAUCUAGUUCACAAAGUAAAGAUCAUAGACAAACAUAGUAUGCAUACUUGGUGUGUGGCAUGACUAGUGUUUAAGAAAACAUAGUGUACAUGCUUGGAGCAUGGGACAACUAUUGUUUUAAAUUCAAGAAUAAAGUUGAUAGCUGAAACAGUAUACAAUGAAUAAUGUGUAAUCAUAUGGUGAUAAAUAAAAGGUGUUUUAUUUAUGUUCAAAGGUUUGAUACCAUAUUGGAUUCAAUUAUUAUUGUGUUUCACUUUGCAUGUUUUGACUUCCCGAAUAAACUGGGUUAUUCUUCCGGAAUGACUAAGUUAUUCAAACCAUCCACAGUCGGUCAUAUGUUGGAAGUAGAUAUGAAUUAAGACUGUCAUGGGUUGGCUUGUAGAGGUCUAAGGUGUUGGACAAAGGGCUACAACACUCAUGAGUGCUCAUAAGUUCUGAGUAUUGGAUUCAACCCGCGCUCAUUGGAAUCACUUCAUGGAUUUUAUCACGAGUGAUCAUGAGACGAUAAUAUCUUAUAUUCUUCAAACCUAGAGAUAUGAGUUGUUACUAUGAGUUGAUAGUACAUUGAUUGCACGAAAACGCAUUUGGUAACUCGGUGCUAUAAAACGUGCCUUUGUGUAUGAUUCAACAAGUAGUAGAACAAGCCAUAUGAGUCGAAGUUUAUCCAUUCCUUUUACCUUCGGGAUAAAAGCGAUAUCUGUGGGCCCCUCGAUGAUUUGAUGAUGACAAAUGGAAGUGCUCGGCCGGGCCAGGACUGAUUUGAUUUGUUCAAUUAGUCAGUCGUCAUAAAUCGGAAAUCGGGAAACAACAAAUGGACAGAGAGAAUGAUUAUAAUCCAUGUCUCAGUCCAUAUGAUAUCUAGAAUGGAGGAAUAUAUGAUCCCUUAUCUAAUGGACAAGUCAUUGACAAAGGUCAGAGUUCAUCUACAAGGUCAGAGUUCGACAGAAGCUUUUGAGAGCUACGAUUGCCAGUUGGUUCCUGAAGUCAUACGCAAUAAUAGUUUUAGACUUAUCCAAGUGGGAGACUGUUGGAUUAAUGUCUAAGUCCAUAACUAUAAUUGGUAAGACUUGACCCGACCCGGCAUGGUCCAUUUGGGUUGCAUGCCAUCAUGCACUUGGAUAGACUAUAAUGAGAGAAAUAAGACACUUAUGGUUAUUAAUAUAUUAUAAGUUCUAGUAUAUUAAUAAUAAGAAUAAUAAGAUUAUUUAAUUAGUAUUGAUCAAGAAUUAAUCUAGGAUUAAUUAAGUGAUCAAAAGAAGACUAAUUAAAUAUAUGGGUUGAGUGUGUAAAUCAUCCAUACUUGUAUAGUGGGCUAAUGCUCCAUGGAUAAUCAAGUUGGGCUAAAACCCAUAGGAUGGUCCAUGGAUGCUCCAUGGUGUAUUUGUACCCAUGGAUCAUGGAAAUGAAAGGCCAUGUCAAUUAGGGUUUACAUGGUGUAACCCUAACUAUAUAAGCAUCUUAUUCUUGACCAAAAUCGGCCACUAGUGAGAAAAGAAAAAGGGCUAGCCGAUUUUCAUGAGUAUAGAAUUCUCUCAAGUUAUUCCAAGAGUAUUUGGUGUUGUGUGAACCAUUUGAGGUGUCACACUUAGGGCACUAGGCACUCAAGCUUCAUGAAGACUUUCUACAUCAAAGAGGUAUGUAUUCUAUCUUGCUAUAGUGAUUGUUUUGUAUGCUAGAUUAGGAUAAUACCUUGGAAGUUCUUAUUUGCAUGUAUAAUAGAGAAAACAUAGAUCCAAGGUAUUUAGGGUUGCAUGUACACUUAGGAGUGUUAGAAUGCUCA
rnacentral:lncRNA from 1 species